GCUUUGAGCACAAUUGAGAACUUAAUGUGUUAAUACUUUCACCAGGGCUUGAUUCCAGCGGAUGAAAACCCCAUAAGAUGACAGUAAACCCAGAAGGAUAGCCCGAACUUCCUGUUCUUUGUUGACAGAAUUUGGGUGUGCAACCUGCAAAGUUUGACAAAUUUUGCAAAGAAACAGAUGUAAAAGGCCAGUUCCGAGAUCCAAAUGGAGGUGCCGCAGCACAGUUGUGUUGGUGGAACUACCACUGGGCCACUGCCAGUUGCAUCUGGGCAGGAAGGAAAUGCAAAUUCAAAGGAAAAAUUAGGCCAUUUUAGAGCAAAGCGAUUUCCAGCAAAGGCGCAGUGCUAACACUCAAGGAUAAAGAAGAUAAGAAAACUGAGGCAGAGAAAUUAAGCAACUGCCUACGGCGUCCCAGCUACUCAGCGGAAUCUCUGAGAUUCAAACCCAGGUGUCUGGCUCCAGAGCUCACACCGUACAACUACUCACACAACCAUGCAGUAUGGAGGUCAAAGGAAAUAAAGAAAGAAGCAAAAAAGAAGACUCUAAACCCACAUUGAGACCCUUUUCAAAACAGUCACAUAGAACCUUAAGAUGCUGCGGUUCAGAGGAGAGGACUCCUCUGUAGCAAAGACUCAGUUAGCACUGGUAGGAAGAGUUGGGGGUGGGGAAGGCAAUGAUACACAGCAGACAGUGUCCCCCACCAUAGGCAGGUGAGGAGGGGGGAAGGCUGCAAAAGCACAGACAAGUCAAGACCAGGGUUUUCAGCUCAUCCUAACAACAGAAUCACUGAGCAGCACACCUGAAGCCCAAGAGACCUAAUCCUCAGCCUUCUUCCCUAGGCUGCUGUAAGGUCCAAGAAGACAACUUCUGUGAAAGCACUUGCCGGACUGCAAAGUGCUCUGUAACAUUAGAGGCAAUUGAAACCAGGAAGAUUAGCCCUGAGCUAACAUCCUUGCCAUCUUCCUCUACUUUCUACGUGGGACGCCUGCCACAGCGUGGCUUGCCAAGUGGUACGUAGGUCCACCCGAGGGAUCCGAACCGGUGAACCCCAGGCCACC
rnacentral:lncRNA from 1 species